ensembl:lncRNA
AGCAGUUACAAACAGACUGAUGGAUGUAAAUUUUAUUGAUGAUUAAAUACCACGCAUGGCCUUGUCACUGGUGAUGGUAAUUUUCCAAUACCAUGAACAACUCUUGGUAAAGUUUUUGAUGAAACAAAGGACAGAUAUUAUAUGAUUCCCCUUAUACGAAGUACCCAGAAUAGGCAAAUUCACAGAGCCAGAAAGUGGAUUAGAGGUUGUAAAGACCCAACGGGAAGGGGCCUGGGGAGCUAUUGCUUAAUAGGCACAGAGCUUCUGUCUGUGGUGACGAAAAGUUUUGGAAAUAUAUAGCAGUGAUGGUUGCACAACAUUUUGAAAGUACUUAAUGCCAUUGAAUUAUACACUUAAAAAUGGUUAACAUGGUAAAUUCUAUGUUGUGUAUUUUUACUACAAUAAUAAAAUACCCAAAAAAGUCUUGCAAAAAAAGUGUUUUGUUUAUAUACAAAACAGAGUUAGAUUCUAGUUCAGAUAAUAGUAAAUGGCCUUUCACUUACAUGAACGUCCUGCGGGACAUUUGAAAGUUAUGCAAGACAAUUCUUUGUCGUGCAGGCCUAUUCCAUCACUGGCCAAUCCCACGCAGUACCAGUAGGGCACCCCUUCGCUGUGAUGAAAAUGCCCCCGCCGUGUUCCAAUUGCCGUAGGAGGAUAGCAUCUCCCUCUCGAGAACCACUGAGAUGCCGGAAGCAGAGCCACGCAGGUUGCCUGGGUUGGGACCGGCCAGUGCCUGGAGUCCUCGUUGGGACGAGAGUGCUCGGCCCAGAAACCGCAGAAAUUCAGUUCUUUGAAGGAUCAGCAUGGAGCAUGAGGAGCAAGGGGAAGAAGGAUGUGGGAACUAUGACAUGAAAGCUGCCGCCGGUUCUGACCCCUGGCACCCCGGCUCCUGGUUUCUCACGCAGAAAUGCUCACGGCAGUCCCCUCCCAGACGGUGGAGCUAGAGAGCCUGGGACUCGGCUGGGUGGUGUGGGCUGGCGCGGGAUGGGGCAGGGCUGACUCGGCCAUCCACAGAUGAUGCGGCAGUGCUGCUGACUAUGACGGUGGCAAUAACAGCUGCUAUUUAUUGAAUAAUUAGCAAGUUCUUUACUAUAUUUUCAUGUAAUUUUAACAACUAUUUAUUACAGGUGGGAAAACAAGUUCAGGCAGCUGGGAGGUGCUCGGAAAAUCAAAAGUCAUGGAGAGAAGGCGGGAGCCCAGUCACAGAGAUUCCUAGCCGACAGAUUCGAAUCUGCUCGUUCUGAAGUCCCACUCGGCUGACCUCCACGUGCGGAUGCGGCCGAGUUCCUCCCCCCAACCCCGCGGUUUGCUGGGGCGUCAGCUGGGGAGCCAGUGCCGCCGGCCGUGCGGGGGUCCAGCCACUUCCCCGCCGGCCGAAGGACACUGCCAGCGCCCUCUUCUCCCGCUUUCCUCCGGUCGCAGGGAUCUGACUGAUGGAGGGGCGCUCAGCCCGCCACCGUGAUGCAGCGCCGCUUGGAAAGCACUGACUUCUCCCAAGAGGCUUGGAGCUCCUGGGGCUAGAAUGAGUGUGGUUGGCUGACAGCUGCUUCUGGAGCGGCCUCCCUCUCGGACUUCACGCCCGAUGGUCGCCUGCGGAGGCUUCCGGGUCCAGCGUGGGACCCCAGGCACAGAAGCAAGACUGAAGUCCCUGUCGCUACUCCUUCCCCUCGUUACAGGGGGCUGGAAAAGCCCACCUCAUGCCACUUCCUCCCCCAGAGGACCCUUUAACUUGCAGGAAGUCAUGAUUUUGAAGGAGGCAGUUCUCAGAACGUGAUGCUCUGAUUGGCCCCCAAACCUCCAUCCUGAGCUCCAGCCUCCGCCCUCCUGAAGCCGUUGGAUUACCUGCUGCUGCUAUGAACAAGGAGGGUCUUCAGACAGCUUCUAGAAUUUCAAGCUGGAAACGCUCCCAGGGAGAAGACAUGGUCAACCCUACAUCUCUGGUGAGGCCCAACCACCCUCCUGGAACUCAGAGGCAGCCUGAGGGCUCUUCCACACUGCUUUCAGCUCUUCACCACUGUGCCGAAGACUACGAGGAACACGUGAGCGCAUGACUCAGAAGCCUCAGGGAAGAUGGAGGGCGAGGUGCUGGCAAUUUUUCCGGCAACUCUUUGCGUGAGAUGACAUGCAACAGGGAGCAGGGCUAUUCUGGCCUUGUGGGGAGAGAGAUUGGAAGACGUGACAUUUGUUCCACAGCUGGCUGGCGGCACUGGUUCUGAGCUUUUGUAGAGAGGAGGUGAACAGGCAGCAGCAGAAGUGUCCUUAUAGAAAGGGGAGAUGUGGACACAGAGACAGAGGCGCAGAGGAAAGAUGAGAAGACGCACAGGGAGAAGACCGCCGUGUGACUGGAGUGAUGCAUCCACCAGCCAACGAAGCCCCAGGAUUGCCAGGAACACCCAAAGCGACAAGAGGCAAGGAAGAAUUCUCCCCUAGAGCUGUCAGAGGAAACACAGCCCUACGGACACCUUGAUCUCAGACUUCUGGCCUCCAGAACUGUCACAGAAUACAUUUCUGUUGUUUUAAGCCACGCAGCUUGUAGUGCUGUGUUUUGGUAGCCAAGAGAGUGCUCAGCCAGUGCUCUCUCUGAGGGGACACCAUGAGCUGGUUCUGAGAGUAUGGAAGCAACUGGAAGCUGGAACCAACCACUACUAGAAUCACCUGCCACUACUAGGAUGGAACACUCUGGUUGGCAUGACGCUGACAGAGACAAUGAGCAAAACAGAAGUGCCCUCUCUCUCUUCCAGCCUUCCUGUCACCUCUUAUUUGCUCCUUGGCCAAUGCCCAUGUAAUGGGGGGCCAGCUGUCAGGGGAGAAACAUUGUGUGCCAAGUCCUGGCUUCACAGAACUGACUCUGGCAGGUGGAGGGGGAGCUGAGAGACAAGAGCCUAGUACCCAGCAUCGGGCAUGGAAGCUUGGGUGGGGAAAAAAACCUCAUCUUUAUUUUCAUUAUCCUCUCUCUGAGAUCUAGCAUUCCCUUCCCUUAUGAAUAUGGGCCAAAAAUAAAUGGAGAAAACCACAGUAGUAUUAGCAGAACCUAUAACUCUGUCACUAAUGUUUUCAUUGCACGUUAGAGUUGCUGCAGAUAUUUCAAAUUAUCAUUUACGCUUAUCACCACUACUUAAAAAUUACGGUAGGUGUUAGACUUGCUGCUAGAUCUGGUAAUUCAAUAUGCUAAUAAAGGGGCAAACGGAUUACCAGCAUGAUUUUGUUUUUUAAUGUUUUCAUAACUUUAUUUAGUGUAUGACUUCCUUUUGUACUUGAGUUAUUAUUGUAUUUUAUGCAUUAAAAAUCUUAUUUUGGAAAGAUGACCAAAGACUUCACCAGACUGACAAAGGAGUCCAUGGCACCAAAAAAUAGCUGAAGUAUCAUUAGGAGGAAGGAAGGAUAACCAGGCAGAGCAGAGGAUUUUGGGCAGUGAAACUGUUCUGUAUGAUACUGUAAUGAUGGACACGUGACAUCAUAUAUUUGUCCAAACCUGCAGAAUGGACAACACCAAGCAUGACCCUAACGUAAACCAUGG